AAUCCCCUCUAUAAAUAAUGUCCACCCCUCGGGGUGCAAACAUCAUCUCCCCUUAUUUCUGUCUCCCUCUAGGGUUCUUCAACUCCUUUGGAUUCUACAAUUUUGGUUCCCCCAAUUAAUUAGGUUUUGUCCGUCCAUCUGAUCUGAUGUUGGAUCGUCAAUCGUCAUCCAAUUCGCCGCCGUGGUUUCGGAUCGAUGCCGUUGAUCGCUUUCGAUUUUUCAUCGGAUUGAGAGUACUGAUCUAUGCAAGAGGAUGAAAUCGGAAUAUAUGGAUUCCGUACGUUUAAUAGAAGCUAAGAAUCUUCCCAGUUCUUGAGGUGUGUAUAUCCAGUUAAUCCGAUUAGCCGACGGUGAUUGUUCGUCUUCGUCUACUUGUUUCAAGAUUUUAGUCUUGACAUAGUUAUGUAAGAGAAAGAGAGUU